AGACUCCACCCAUGGAGACAGAGACUCCACCUAUGGAGACAGGCCUCCCCGUUGACUCACCACAAACUUCAAUGACACUAGAGUCUCUAGUGGAAACGCAGGAGAUACGACGUCUCCAAGACGAGGCUACCAUCUCUCUCUGGCUGCAGACCAGGAGAAAGAGAUGAAACGUCGUUGUUUUGAGGAGUGGGAGAGCAG